UACGUAGGGUGCAAGCGUUGUCCGGAAUUAUUGGGCGUAAAGAGCUCGUAGGCGGUUUGUUGCGUCGGCUGUGAAAACCUGAGGCUCAACCUCAGGCCUGCAGUCGAUACGAGCAGACUAGAGUGUUGCAGGGGAGACUGGAAUUCCUGGUGUAGCGGUGAAAUGCGCAGAUAUCAGGAGGAACACCGGUGGCGAAGGCGGGUCACUGGGCCGCAACUGACGCUGAGGAGCGAAAGCGUGGGGAGCAAACAGG
rnacentral:rRNA from 1 species